rnacentral:lncRNA from 1 species
UGGGAGCGCCAGUUGGGUCUGGGUGAGGGUGUGCUGUUCAACAGUCUGACAGUUCUGUCAACAACUCCAGACUAAUACCCUGUUUUUCUUCACUUUCUGUAGAGUUUAUAUCCCCUGUAUCUAUGUGUUAAAUAAGAUUGACCAAAUCUCCAUUGAGGAAUUGGAUAUCAUCUAUAAGGUGCCUCACUGUGUACCCAUCUCUGCCCAUCACCGCUGGAAUUUUGAUGACCUAUUGGAAAAGAUCUGGGACUAUCUGAAACUAGUGAGAAUUUACACCAAACCCAAAGGCCAGUUACCAGAUUACACAUCCCCAGUGGUGCUUCCUUACUCCAGGACCACAGUGGAGGAUUUCUGCAUGAAGAUUCACAAAAAUCUUAUCAAAGAAUUUAAAUAUGCUCUGGUCUGGGGUCUCUCUGUGAAACACAAUCCUCAGAAAGUGGGUAAAGACCAUACGUUGGAGGAUGAGGAUGUCAUUCAAAUUGUGAAGAAGUGAAACCUUUCCCUUUUCCCAUCUGCCGGACGAACCACAACAGCGUUCCCCAUGAUCAAGCACCCUACCCCAGUUCUUUCUGGUUUUGGCAGUCACUGGAUCAGGAUCCAGGGGAGGGAGAUGGAGGCACCCAAACUGGAACUUCAUUUGUCUUACCUUGGUGUCACCUUGUAUGUCGAACUGCAUA